UACGUAGGGGGCAAGCGUUGUCCGGAUUUAUUGGGCGUAAAGAGCGUGUAGGCGGCUUUACAGGUCCGUUGUGAAAACUCGAGGCUCAACCUCGAGACGCCGGUGGAAACCGUAAAGCUAGAGUCCGGAAGAGGAGAGUGGAAUUCCUGGUGUAGCGGUGAAAUGCGCAGAUAUCAGGAAGAACACCCGUGGCGAAGGCGGCUCUCUGGGCCUUACCUGACACUGAGGAGCGAAAGCGUGGGGAGCGAACAGG
rnacentral:rRNA from 1 species